UACAGAGGUGGCAAGCGUUGUUCGGAAUUCCUGGGCGUAAAGGGCGCGUAGGCGGUCUUGUAAGUCUUGUGUGAAAUCCCUCGGCUCAACUGAGGAACUGCACGGGAUACUGCGAGACUUGAGUUCGGGAGAGGGAAGCGGAAUUCCGGGUGUAGCGGUGAAAUGCGUAGAGAUGUGGAGGAACACCAGUGGCGAAGGCGGCUUUCUGGUCUGUAACUGACGCUGAGGCGCGAAAGCGUGGGGAGCAAACAGG
rnacentral:rRNA from 1 species